AUGGGUGUCCCUUACACUCCAAGAGUUGACAAUCAUGCACAAGGGACAGGCAAGAAGGUGCUUAUUGAUAUUCCGGACACGACUCCGCGACCUACUGUCAAGCCUAAGGAUGCUGAAUCAGUCGAUAAGGACAUCUUUGUUGAUCUCUCUCCAUUGGCAACAUCUGUUGGGGUGAUUGAAAAGCAGAAUGAGCGUGAGGAGAGGGACCCUAUGGAUUUCACGCCACCACCGUUCGACCUCGGAAUUGAUUUGAGCAGUCAAAGGAGCCAGUUGAUGCUAUCCCAGUCUCAUAUGCAUUCCCGUCCCAGCCGGACCUGA
rnacentral:rRNA from 1 species